UACGUAGGGAGCAAGCGUUGUCCGGAAUCAUUGGGCGUAAAGCGCGCGUAGGUGGCCUCAUAAGUCCGCUGUGAAAGUCCAAGGCUCAACCUUGGAAAGCCGGUGGAUACUGUGAGGCUAGAGUACGGAAGAGGCGAGUGGAAUUCCCGGUGUAGCGGUGAAAUGCGCAGAUAUCGGGAGGAACACCAAUGGCGAAGGCAGCUCGCUGGGACGGUACUGACGCUGAGGCGCGAAAGCGUGGGGAGCAAACAGG
rnacentral:rRNA from 1 species